GGAUGCGAUCAUACCAGCACUAACGCACCGGAUCCCAUCAGAACUCCGAAGUCAAGCGUGCUUGGGAGAGAGUAGUACUAGGAUGGGUGACCCCCUGGGAAGUCCUCGUGUUGCAUCCG
rnacentral:rRNA from 1 species